AUUGAACGCUGGCGGAAUGCUUUACACAUGCAAGUCGAACGGCAGCACGGGGGCAACCCUGGUGGCGAGUGGCGAACGGGUGAGUAAUACAUCGGAACGUGCCCAGUCGUGGGGGAUAACGUAGCGAAAGCUACGCUAAUACCGCAUACGAUCUACGGAUGAAAGCGGGGGAUCGCAAGACCUCGCGCGAUUGGAGCGGCCGAUGGCAGAUUAGGUAGUUGGUGGGGUAAAGGCUCACCAAGCCUUCGAUCUGUAGCUGGUCUGAGAGGACGACCAGCCACACUGGGACUGAGACACGGCCCAGACUCCUACGGGAGGCAGCAGUGGGGAAUUUUGGACAAUGGGCGAAAGCCUGAUCCAGCCAUUCCGCGUGCAGGAUGAAGGCCCUCGGGUUGUAAACUGCUUUUGUACGGAACGAAACGGCCUUUUCUAAUACAGAGGGCUAAUGACGGUACCGUAAGAAUAAGCACCGGCUAACUACGUGCCAGCAGCCGCGG
rnacentral:rRNA from 1 species